rnacentral:tRNA from 1 species
ACGGAUGUAGCUCAAUGGUAGAGUUUCGAUCUCCAAAAUCGAAGGUUAUAAGUUCGAAUCUUAUCAUCCGUG